UUUUGUGGAUGACCAAAGAAAGUGGUUUCUUGAGAUGGAAUAUACUCCUGGUGAAGAUGCUAGAAA
rnacentral:pre_miRNA from 3 species